ACUGUUCAAUGAUGAGGCCUGGAGUGUGCGCUGGGCACAGCGCCCGAGUCAGACUGCGGAAGCAUUCCAUGUUGCCUUCCUUCUGAGAACAGC
rnacentral:snoRNA from 13 species